UAUUUUGGAGAAACGCUGUGUAGCUUUGCAGACGCGAACCGCAGGGUAAUUCCCAGGUGUCCUAGAAUUCUCCUGUGGGCUCGAAGGGGGAGGCCAACGUGCCCGGCCUCCCCGCCCCUGCCCCCAGGCCCCGGCCUGGCCGCACCCGCGCCCCCACCGACCACUGCAAGAAGCCUGGGGGCCCCCCUUCUUGGUCCCUCACACUUCUGCCUGUGGGGAGACCAGGGAGACCAGGGGCCCGCACCUCCGCCCUCGCCGCACACCGGGGUCUGGCCGCCCUGCAGGCCUGGAGAGGAAAGGGGGGUCUCCAAGGCCAGGGCUCCGGCCCCCCCCCCAAGGCGGCCCCGCGUCCACCGGGCAGGGCCCCCGCGCGCCCCCGCCCGAGGCAGCCCAGCUGCCCUGUCCCGCGUGGCUGCGGGCCCUGGGGAGAAGCGCCGCAGGGGUGGGGGGGGGGGCGCGCCCGGCCUCCCUGCGCCUCGCACCUGCGCCCACCUGCCCGCCCGCGGAAGUCACCCCCCGCGUAGCCGGGAGCCCGGGGGCGCGCUGUCCCUCGGCUCGGGCCACCGGGAAGGGGUCCAGGGGUGCGGCCCGGGUGAUGCUUCCGCGGCGCCGCGGGGGUCGGGCGCGGGCAGGCGGCCCCUGAAGACCCACCUUCUCAAUGGCAGGUCCAUUCUGUCCCCACAGCGAUCCCGCCGAGCCCCGAAGGGGUCCGCGGGCCCGACCUCUGUGACGUCACAGCCAUCUCCGCGGCGACCCUCCCCGCCCUUGGGCGCCCGCGCCCCCGCGCCCCUGCACUCCGCGCCCCCGCGCCCCUGCACCCUUGCACCCCGCGGCCCUGCACCCCUGCACCCCGCGCCCCUGUGCCCCAGCGCCCCGCGCCUCUGCACUCCGCACCCCUGCGCCCAGCGCCCUGCACCCCGCGCCCCUGCACCCCUGCACCCCGCGUCCCUGCACCCCUGCACCCCGCGCCCCUGCACCCCGCGCCCCUUCGCCCCAGCUCCCCGCGCCCCUGCUCCCCGUGCCCCUGCACCCCGCACCCCGCGCCCCUGCAACCCGCGCCCCUGCACCCCG
rnacentral:lncRNA from 1 species